GCCGAAGUGGCGGAACCGGCAGACGCGGCGGACUCAAAAUCCGUUGUCCCCAAAGGACGUGUGGGUUCGACUCCCACCUUCGGCA
rnacentral:tRNA from 1 species